rnacentral:rRNA from 1 species
GGAUGAACGCUGGCGGCGUGCCUAAUACAUGCAAGUCGAGCGAACGGCCGAGAAGCUUGCUUCUCUGAUGUUAGCGGCGGACGGGUGAGUAACACGUGGAUAACCUACCUAUAAGACUGGGAUAACUUCGGGAAACCGGAGCUAAUACCGGAUAAUAUUUUGAACCGCAUGGUUCAAAAGUGAAAGACGGUCUUGCUGUCACUUAUAGAUGGAUCCGCGCUGCAUUAGCUAGUUGGUAAGGUAACGGCUUACCAAGGCAACGAUGCAUAGCCGACCUGAGAGGGUGAUCGGCCACACUGGAACUGAGACACGGUCCAGACUCCUACGGGAGGCAGCAGUAGGGAAUCUUCUGCAAUGGGCGAAAGCCUGACGGAGCAACGCCGCGUGAGUGAUGAAGGUCUUCGGAUCGUAAAACUCUGUUAUUAGGGAAGAACAUAUGUGUAAGUAACUGUGCACAUCUUGACGGUACCUAAUCAGAAAGCCACGGCUAACUACGUG